UCAGUGAGACUUCACACCAGUGGCGCAUCACCACUUCUUUCUCAACUCUCCAUUGCUCCACACAAUGGGCAAAGUCUUCCUCUUUCAACUCGGAUGGAUGGUGAACCAAGAACACCUCUUGUGAACCUGAAACAUCACUCAAACUCCAGCAAAGAUAAGACACAAGUGCAUUGGGUCAACCCUUGAUGCAUCAUCAAGUUUGAACACCAAUGUCUUUAAGCAAUGCAACAGAUUAAACUAGACAUUUUCAAGUUCCAAUCUUUGCAAGCAAACUCUCUAAGCACUAGCAUGAUCCUAACAGAUUCAAUACAAGCUACUUAGGCAAUUUUUAAAGCUUCUUUACUCAGCAUUUAGACAUGAAUCUAAUGCUUCAAUGUAAGACAGCCAUUUGACAGUAUGCACUAGCCUUAAUCAGUUUUAAUUCAUGAAUGCAACAAUACAAUUCAUCACACAUUCAUUUAUAACUUAGGCUAAGCAUUACUAUCAUCACUUAUCAUCAGACAAUGCAUUACUUUCAAUCUGUUUUCAGUUCAUGAGCUUCAAACAAUAUCAUUUCACAUUUAGCAAACUCAUUACUUAACAGGAGCAAGCAUUUUACUCUUUAAACACUAAACAAGCCUUUAAAGCAUCCUGGGACAGAUUCAACUAAUUAUAUUUAGCAAUCACACAUUAUCCUCAGGUUUUUCAAUCAAUACACAUCACACUAACCAGGCAAUAACACAACACAAGCUCAUUAUCAAGAAGGUUUUAAGAAUCGCUUACACAAGGAACCAGGUUGGUUCCUUAAGCCUCCAAAGGCAAUCUGGCCAUGAUAUGGUUGGAUUCAAGAGUCUAGGUCGUCACCCAACUCCUUCUCCUUCAGUCCAUGGCCUCCUUCUUGUUUCUCACACCCAAAGACCCCUCCUUUCUUCAUACUUCAAACCGGCUUCUCUUAGCUUCAUCUUUCUUGUAUCCGGAUGUGAUAAGCUCUUGGACAAGGAGCUUUGGCUUGAGGUUCAUGACGCCUCUCCAUCCUCCUCUGCUUCCAAAGAGACACUCUCCAUCAGGUAAAGACAGGCACGGUUGAGAGAUAAGGAGAACACUCCAUGCUUCAAGCUUCUUUCUUCUUCAAGAACUGAACUCGGCUGGUAAUGUCUUCAAGGGUUUGGUUUGAGCUGAGAUGAGAGCUGUGGAUUUGCGGAAGCUAAGCUCAGGUUCUGAUGAACCUGGCUCUGAUACCAUAUGAGAUUUGAGAGCUCUGGCUGUGUAUGUGUAUGAGAAGCCAUUAGAGGCAGAGAAUAAGGUCUUGAACUAGUUGAAUAAGAGGUCUGAUGAAACUAGUAUGAACUUGAAUCACAAACAAAGAGACUUAGAGAGAUUAAGAGAUUAGAGACUAAGAAAGGGGUAGAUUAAGGGAAUCUGAUCAAGAACACACUUUUAUAUUUAUGAAGGAGUUGGGGAAAUCCCCCAUACUCUCUUAAGAGAGUUACAAACGCCCAUGAGGGUCUUUAUAUAGGUUUUACACUCUUGCAAACUCAUAAACCUAUAUCUAAUGGAUAGAAAUAACUUAAGAGGAAUGGAUGGUGAGGAUGAGUUGGUCUUGUUGUAAUCUGAGUGAUGUGUGCUGAUUGGAUAAGCUAAGCUGGCUCACUUUAAUUCAAACCAAGGCAAGCUGGCUCCUUGCUUGUGAUUGGCUCUCCUUAGGCUCCUCUUAAUCUUCCCAUGCAUCUGUCCAGGUUCAUGGUCGUGGCUCCCUUCUCUUUACAGCAAGAGACAGCCUGUCCAAGACCAGAACUAGCCAAUCACAUACAAGGAAGCUCCCAUUGGUUGUUUGCCUCCACAAAGCAUCUUCUUGAUUCCCUUUGACUAGAUUCAAACCUUGGUGCCUUAUCCAUAUACUAUGCACACUCUUCACAUCCUGAAUAGUGACCCAAAUAGUGAAUAGUCAACCUGAAUAGUGACUAGUGAUUCACUAUUCACUUUUACACCAACUUGCCCAAACUUCUCCAAUCUUACUGUGGUAACUCUCCAAAGUUACUGUGGUAACUUUGGAGUUACUGUCUGACCCAAAUCUUCUCUAAAUGGUGUCUAAGUCCCUCCUGGACUUAACCCUAUCUUUGCACACUCAUCAGACCACUUCUGAAGCCUUAAGACUCUCCCAAAACCUUAACAUACAGUCUCUGAAGAUCUUGGCAUGUCUUUGCACAAGCACCAACUCAACUCAUCACUUUUGCUUCUCCACUUCUUCUCUUCAAGUUAACACUCCCCCUCAAGCUUGACUCUAGCUGAUCCUAAGUCAAGCUUGGAACCUUGAAGAACUUCCUCAUUAAAAACCUCACCAAGGAAAACCCUUUGGGACAAAACCUUGAUGAGGGAAAAAGAGUAAAGUCUCCAAGGCCCAGGGAUUGGCCAGUGAGUCUUUGUGCCUUACCAACAAUGUAAGGGACACAAAGACUCUGGAUCAUGGCCUCUACAAUCAUCCCACGCCUUGUACUCUCCUUACUGCCUAAUCUUGGUCUCUCCCCCUUUCACCUAACCUCUUGUUAGGUUGAAGUGCUCGGACACACCAGAUCAGCCUCUUCUUGGAGAUACAACUUCUCUUACUGAGUCUUGGCUGCUUCUUCUUCUUAUAGAGUCGCCACCUUGUUGCUUGAGCUACAUGAGGAUGCUUCAGCCACUCUCCAAUCACCUCAACACUUGAAGCCGCCUUGGAUAUUGCUUCUUCAUCCUUCAUCAUACUUCUCAACAGGUUGCUUCCUCUUCUAGAAUAACCACCAAGCUCUCUUGGAUCAUGUAAGCUUCAACACUCCCCCUCAAGCUUGAGACUCUCACAGGAACAAGCUUGAAUGGUUUGCUUCAUGAUCCUCACACACACACCAUUGCCGCUUCUCUUCUGAUCUUGCCAUCUUCAUGGAAUGCUUGUGGAAGCUUCAGCUAUCUCUCCAAUCACUUCACACUAGAAGCCGCCUUGAUAGAGUUGCCUUCAUCUUCUCACAGCCAAGAGUACUCUGUCUUAGUUUGAGUACUCUCUUGAAUAGACUCGCCACAGCCUAAGCCCGGAUGGCUCCUUCUUCAGAUGGUUGCAAUGGACUUCUUGGAUCGCUUGGAAGCUCACUAAACUCCCCUCCUCAAGCUUGGAUUGAAUAUAGGUCCAAGCUUGCAAGUGAGCUUCAGUGAGACUUCACACCAGUGGCGCAUCACCACUUCUUUCUCAACUCUCCAUUGCUCCACACAAUGGGCAAAGUCUUCCUCUUUCAACUCGGAUGGAUGGUGAACCAAGAACACCUCUUGUGAACCUGAAACAUCACUCAAACUCCAGCAAAGAUAAGACACAAGUGCAUUGGGUCAACCCUUGAUGCAUCAUCAAGUUUGAACACCAAUGUCUUUAAGCAAUGCAACAGAUUAAACUAGACAUUUUCAAGUUCCAAUCUUUGCAAGCAAACUCUCUAAGCACUAGCAUGAUCCUAACAGAUUCAAUACAAGCUACUUAGGCAAUUUUUAAAGCUUCUUUACUCAGCAUUUAGACAUGAAUCUAAUGCUUCAAUGUAAGACAGCCAUUUGACAGUAUGCACUAGCCUUAAUCAGUUUUAAUUCAUGAAUGCAACAAUACAAUUCAUCACACAUUCAUUUAUAACUUAGGCUAAGCAUUACUAUCAUCACUUAUCAUCAGACAAUGCAUUACUUUCAAUCUGUUUUCAGUUCAUGAGCUUCAAACAAUAUCAUUUCACAUUUAGCAAACUCAUUACUUAACAGGAGCAAGCAUUUUACUCUUUAAACACUAAACAAGCCUUUAAAGCAUCCUGGGACAGAUUCAACUAAUUAUAUUUAGCAAUCACACAUUAUCCUCAGGUUUUUCAAUCAAUACACAUCACACUAACCAGGCAAUAACACAACACAAGCUCAUUAUCAAGAAGGUUUUAAGAAUCGCUUACACAAGGAACCAGGUUGGUUCCUUAAGCCUCCAAAGGCAAUCUGGCCAUGAUAUGGUUGGAUUCAAGAGUCUAGGUCGUCACCCAACUCCUUCUCCUUCAGUCCAUGGCCUCCUUCUUGUUUCUCACACCCAAAGACCCCUCCUUUCUUCAUACUUCAAACCGGCUUCUCUUAGCUUCAUCUUUCUUGUAUCCGGAUGUGAUAAGCUCUUGGACAAGGAGCUUUGGCUUGAGGUUCAUGACGCCUCUCCAUCCUCCUCUGCUUCCAAAGAGACACUCUCCAUCAGGUAAAGACAGGCACGGUUGAGAGAUAAGGAGAACACUCCAUGCUUCAAGCUUCUUUCUUCUUCAAGAACUGAACUCGGCUGGUAAUGUCUUCAAGGGUUUGGUUUGAGCUGAGAUGAGAGCUGUGGAUUUGCGGAAGCUAAGCUCAGGUUCUGAUGAACCUGGCUCUGAUACCAUAUGAGAUUUGAGAGCUCUGGCUGUGUAUGUGUAUGAGAAGCCAUUAGAGGCAGAGAAUAAGGUCUUGAACUAGUUGAAUAAGAGGUCUGAUGAAACUAGUAUGAACUUGAAUCACAAACAAAGAGACUUAGAGAGAUUAAGAGAUUAGAGACUAAGAAAGGGGUAGAUUAAGGGAAUCUGAUCAAGAACACACUUUUAUAUUUAUGAAGGAGUUGGGGAAAUCCCCCAUACUCUCUUAAGAGAGUUACAAACGCCCAUGAGGGUCUUUAUAUAGGUUUUACACUCUUGCAAACUCAUAAACCUAUAUCUAAUGGAUAGAAAUAACUUAAGAGGAAUGGAUGGUGAGGAUGAGUUGGUCUUGUUGUAAUCUGAGUGAUGUGUGCUGAUUGGAUAAGCUAAGCUGGCUCACUUUAAUUCAAACCAAGGCAAGCUGGCUCCUUGCUUGUGAUUGGCUCUCCUUAGGCUCCUCCUAAUCUUCCCAUGCAUCUGUCCAGGUUCAUGGUCGUGGCUCCCUUCUCUUUACAGCAAGAGACAGCCUGUCCAAGACCAGAACUAGCCAAUCACACACAAGGAAGCUCCCAUUGGUUGUUUGCCUCCACAAAGCAUCUUCUUGAUUUCCUUUGACUAGAUUCAAACCUUGGUGCCUUAUCCAUAUACUAUGCACACUCUUCACAUCCUGAAUAGUGACCCAAAUAGUGAAUAGUCAACCUGAAUAGUGACUAGUGAUUCACUAUUCACUUUUACACCAACUUGCCCAAACUUCUCCAAUCUUACUGUGGUAACUCUCCAAAGUUACUGUGGUAACUUUGGAGUUACUGUCUGACCCAAAUCUUCUCUAAAUGGUGUCUAAGUCCCUCCUGGACUUAACCCUAUCUUUGCACACUCAUCAGACCACUUCUGAAGCCUUAAGACUCUCCCAAAGCCUUAACAUACAAUCUCUGAAGAUCUUGUCAUGUCUCUGCACAAGCACCAACUCAACUCAUCACUUUUGCUUCUCCACUUCUUCUCUUCAAGUUAACACUCCCCCUCAAGCUUGACUCUAGCUGAUCCUAAGUCAAGCUUGGAACCUUGAAGAACUUCCUCAUUAAAAACCUCACCAAGGAAAACCCUUUGGGACAAAACCUUGAUUAUACACUUUUGUGUAUUAGAGCAUGAUUCAACCAAUCAGGGAUAAUCAGAUGAAAAGAUUAAAGAGAUUAAGAGAUUCUAGUGAGAGAAUAAAGAGAGAGAGACUCAAAACUCCAUUAAUUAAUAACUUAUGAGGUUUACAAGUAUUAAUAGAGAGAGCAACAAGGAAAUUCGAAAUGGUUAAGCAUGUGUAGUCAAAGGACAGGCUGGAACUCCUUUUGAAUCACUUGGCUGUGCUUUCUCACAUGCUUGCACUAGUAUAAAGGUAACUUCUCCUUUCCAGCAUCAUACAGGCUGUCAAAGUGAUCCCUUAUCCUUCCUUAACCUCACUUAUCCUCUUUGGUCGAGUUUCCUCUCUUCUCUUCACUAAGUUACCUUCUCAUCCCAUCAGAUAACUUCCCCAAGUAGUUACUGUGGUUAAAAUAAAGUUACCACAGUAAAACUCUAAAGUUACUGUCUCAGCCUCCUUGGUCUUCAUCUCAAUACUCCCCCUCAAGCUUGACCAUGUAGAACAAGUCAAGCUUGGAAACCAUGAAGACCUCCCUCGUUAAAAACCUCACCAAGUAAAACCCAUUGGGAUAAAACCUUGAUGAGGGAAAAAGAGUGGAGACUCCAUGGUUAAGGGGCUCAGCUCCUAGGAGUCAGAUCAAUGAGUCCAAGCCUUGACAGUAUGGACUCCAUUGUCUUCAAUCUUGCUGCCUUAGUAAACACAUCUGCAAGCUGAUCUUCACUUCUUGUAUAACAUGGCAGAAUCACUCCUAAGAUGAUCAUCUGCCUCACCUUAUGACAAUCCACCUCUAUGUGCUUUGUUCUCUCAUGAAACACUGAAUUGGAGGCAAUGUGGAUAGCUGCUUGAUUGUCACAAUCCAUUGUCAUAGGUGUGGCCUGCUCGAUCUCCAAGUGCUUCAAGAUCCCCUUGAUCCACACCAACUCAUUUGUAAGCUUCAACAUAGCUCUAUACUCAGCUUCAGCACUUGAACAGGAGAUGACCUUCUGCUUCUUACUCUUCCAAGUAACCAGAUUCCCUCCAAUGAAUGUACAAUACCCAGUAGUUGAUCUCCUGUCCACUCUAUCUCCUGCCCAAUCAGCAUCACAAUACCCAACCACUUCUGUACUGCCAUUGCAACCCAUCCAAACUCCUUGUCCAUGUGAGCCACUCAAAUACCUCAGUAUCCUAUCAACCAUCUUCCAGUGAUGUACCUUUGGCGCCUGCAUAUGUUGGCUCACUUGAUUCACAGCAAAGCAUAUAUCAGGUCUGGUGAUAGUCAAGUAGAUCAGCUUACCCACCAUCCUCCUAUACAGCUUAGCAUCCUCAAACAACUGGUUCUCUUCAACCUCCCCCUCACGCAAGACCUUAUACCCUUCCUCUAGAGGUGUCUUAGCUAUCUUCCCUCCAAGCACAUCAGUCUCCUUCAGCAUAUCCAUAGUGUACUUCCUUUGAGACAUAAACAAACCCUCCUUAGAUCUGCAUAUCUCAAUCCCCAAAAAGUACUUCAUCUCUCCCAAGUCUUUAAUAUCAAACACAGACUUGAGAAACUCUUUGGUGGCCUGAAUCCCUGCCUUAUCACUUCCUGUGAUAAUCAAAUCAUCCACAUACACUAGAAUCACAAUGCUCCCUGAAGGUCCUGUCAAGGUGAAGAGAGUGUGAUCUAGUUCAGACUUCCUAAACCCUCUCCCAUUGAGUGUUGUACUCAGCUUCCUGUACCAAGCUCUAGGUGACUGUUUCAACCCAUAUAUUGCUUUCUUCAAUCUCAAAACAUUCCCUGGCUUUACUAGAUGCUCAAGACCAGGAGGUGGAUGCAUGUAUACUUCAUCUUCAAGUUCACCUUGCAAGAAAGCAUUCUUCACAUCCAUUUGCCACAAAUCCCACUCCAAGUUUGUUGCAAUAGAUAACACAAUUUGAAUUGUGUGAAGCUUGGCCACUGGUGCAAAAGUAUCAAUGUAAUCUUCCCCAUAAGUCUGUGUAAAUCCUCUUGCAACCAGCCUAGUCUUGCGCCUAUCUAUCUCCCCAUUUGCAAGGUACUUGAUGGUGAAGAUCCAUCUGCUUGACACUGCCUUCUUCCCUUUAGGUAACUCACUCUCAUACCAAGUAUCAUUCCUGAUCAUUGCAUCCCUUUCAUCUCCUACUGAAUCUCUCCAAACCUUGUGCUUCAUAGCUUCUUCAUAAGAUCUUGGUAUCUCAUUCUCAUCCAAGUUACACAUAAACACCAUGUGCUCUUCUGGAAACUCAGCAAAGGAACACACGGCUUGAGAGGGAUGCUCCACAGCCUGGGCAUUGUAGUACACUCUCGUGUUUACCCAGUUGGAAGGAUCCCUCCUUAUCCUUGUGCUCCUUCGCAAGGUCUCAACCUGUUCUUCAGCCUGAACAUUCUCUUGUGCUUCCUCUCUUAAACCAGUAGGUUCUCCCUGCUCAUUUCCACCUGACUGAGCUUCACUCUCUACUUCCUGUGUCUCCUCCUGAUCAUGCUGACCUGAAUCCUCUUGGUUAUGCUCCUGCUCCCCUGAUUCAGAUCCAUUCCCCCUCUCAUGAUCAAGAGGGGUUGUUCCUCCAGCUUCUCCAGCUUGAUUAGAAGGUCCUGUUCUUCCUGGUUCCGGAUCUUGGGAUAAUCCUAUCCCUAGCUUCUCCAACAACACUCUCAAUGUUGUUGCCUUCUCUGAUGGAGCUCGGGACAGAUCCUCUAGGUCUUCCCAUUUCUUCUCCUCAUAAUACCCUUUAGACUCAACAAACUUCACUUCUCUAGAUACCAUAACCCUCCUAGUUAUUGGAUCAUAGCAUUUGUAGCCUUUCUGAGUGAUUGAGUACCCAAUGAACAUAGCUUUAGUACUCUUUGCUUCUAGCUUGUUCCUUCUUUCUCCAGGAAUCAUCACAUAACAUAAGCACCCAAAGACUCUCAAGUGAUCAAUGUGUGGCUUGGUCUUGUUCAAUACUUCAAAGGGAGACAGUUUCUUCAAGACACGGGUUGGCACUCUAUUGAUGAGAUAGCAAGCAGUCUGAACAGCAUCACUCCAAAACCUCUUAGGGACAUUCAUGUGGAACAUUAUUGAUCUCGCAACCUCCAUCAAAUGUCUGUUCUUCCUCUCAGCCACCCCAUUUUGUUGUGGUGUAUAAGGACAGCUAGUUUGUUGCACAAUCCCAUGCUUUGCAAGAUGAAUCUUGAAAGCAUUGCUAGUGUAUUCUCCUCCAUUAUCAGACCUCAGAAUCCUCACAGUGGCAUUGUACUGAUUAGUAACAUAUGCUUGGAAGUUCAUGAAGGCUUCUAGGACUCUGUCUUUGGAGGGAAUCAUGGUGAUCCAUGUGUACUUGGACUUCUCAUCAAUGAAAGUCACAAAGUACUUAUGGCUGUCUCUAGACAUACAGGGAGCUGUCCACACGUCUGAAUGCACCAGAUCAAAGCAAUUCUCAUAUCUGGUUUCUGAUGUUGGGAAGACAGUCCUACAGUGCUUUCCAAGUAUACAAGCUUCACACUCCAAGUGAUUGAACGCCAUACUUGGUAGAAUCAGUUCAAUUGCCUUGGCAUGAGGAUGUUCCAGCCUUGCAUGCCAUGUGAGAUUAUCACACCUAUCCGUUGUGCUGCUUAAACACACAGACUCCACAGGACUAGGCGCCUCAGUUGUUUGGAGAUGAUAGAGCUGAUGCUUGCUGUCUCCUCUGCCAAUAACCCUUCCAGUCUUCAAAUCCUGGAACUCAACUUCAUUUGGUCUGAAAACCACUUGACAAUCCAGAUCAACUGUAGCCUUCUUAACUGAGAUUAGAUUGGAUGUAAACUGAGGUAGGUAGAAGGCAGUGGAGUUCUUCUCAAACAGCUUGAGGUUUCCCACUCCUUCUAUUGGGAUCCUGGUACCAUUGGCUAUCAUGACACUCCCUGUUGCUGCUUUAACCUCACUGAUUAGUCUCUUGUCACUGAUCAUGUGGUGUGUUGCUCCAGAGUCAAUGAUGAUGGGUUUAGAUGUGGAUGCUUUGGCAGGAGCACCCAGACUCCGGGUCGUAGCCAAAGCAUACACAUGCUUAACCAACUCAUCCCAUUCCUUUUUUGUCACACACUCAUCUGCCCUCUUGGUAUCCAUUCCUCUCAUAUCCGCACUGUCUCCUAUACACUUUUGUGUAUUAGAGUGUUUCUAACCAAGUUUAAGAACAAUCAUACUGUUUUAUGUAAGAUUAAAGAGAUUAAGAGAAUAAGUAGAGAGAGAAUACUCAAAACUCCAUUAAUUAAUAACUGAUGAGGUUUACAAGUAUAUAUAGAGAGAGCAACAAGGGUUUUCGAAAUGUAUAAGCAUGUGGAGUCAAAGGACAGACUGGAACUCCUUUUGAAUCACUUGGCUGUGCUUUCUCACAUGCUUGCACUAGUGUAAAAGCAUCCUCUCCUUUCCAGCAUCAUACAGGCUGUCAAAGUGAUCCCUUAUCCUUCCUUAUCCUCUUCCAACGUCUCACUUAGGAUAAGAAAGGAUUAACCUCAGUUAGACUCCAAUUUAACCCAUCCGGGUAACUUCUCUUCUUCUCACUUUAGUUACCACAGUAAAACUAAAGUUACUGUGGUAAAUCCUAAAGUUACUGACUAACCCAAUACUCUUCCUCUAUCAAUGUAUCCACUCCUCAUCUCCUCAUCUCAACACUCCCCCUCAAGCUUGACCAUGUAGAACAAGUCAAGCUUGGAAACCAUGAAGACCUCCCUCAUUAAAAACCUCACCAAGGAAAACCCAAUGGGAUAAAACCUUGAUGAGGGAAAAAGAGUGGAGACUCCAUGGUUAAGGGGCUCAUCUCCUAGGAGUAAGAUCAAUGAGUCCAAGUCUUGAUAGUAUGGACUCCAUUGUCUUCAAUCUCUCUGCCUUAGUAAACACAUCUGCAAGCUGAUCUUCACUUCUUGUAUAACAUGGCAAUAUCACUCCAAGUAUAAUCAUCUGCCUCACCUUGUGGCAAUCAACUUCUAUAUGCUUCGUCCUCUCAUGAAAGACUGAGUUAGAAGCAAUGUGGAUAGCUGCUUGAUUGUCACAAUGCAUUGUCAUAGGAGUACUCUGCUCAAUCUCCAAAUGCUUCAAGAUCCCCUUGAUCCACACCAACUCGUUUGUCAGCUUCAACAUGGCUCUAUACUCAGCUUCAGCACUUGAACAGGAGAUAACCUUCUGCUUCUUACUCUUCCAAGUGACCAAGUUCCCUCCAAUGAAUGUACAAUACCCAGUAGUGUUGAACUGAAGAGAAGAUGGAGCUUGUACAAGAAUAGGGCAAGCUCUAGAAGAUGUCUAGAAGAGUUCAAUCAAGCUUCAGAAGUGUUCUGAAGGAGUUAUCUUGUGAAGUUAAGUCUAGGAAAGACUUAGACUGAUCAUGUGGAGGCUUUGGAGGAGUUAAAGAGAAGAUGGAAGUAUGGUGCAAAGAUAGGGCGUUCGGUACGGCGAUGGUACGGCCUAGGGUGAUCCAAGAAGGUGUAAGGGUUAACCAUAGAAGGAAGUUGGAUGAAGGCAUAGGACGAGUGUACGGACCUCAAGGCCGUACAGCGUCCGUACAUCCCAUCCGGUCCAGCCAUCACUCGGAUCAGUCUUGAUCAAGUUGUGCAAUGUGUGGGCGCGGCAGGUUUGAAUUAACAAGACCGUUGAAGGCUUAUGGAGGGAAGGAAUAUGCUGAGCAUCUUGUAUAGAUAAGGAGCAAGCUGUAAAGUGAAAGCAAAAGCAAAAGGUAAAGGCAAAAGGAGAAGCAUGUAUCUGGUCACAUAAGGAGCAAGAUACAUUGGCGCCUUCAGUCUCCUUUUGCCUCAGUUUGAAUCAACCAAUUACAAGACAAGCUGCCAAGACCAAAGACCAGCCUUAUCUCAUCCAGGCCGUCCUCAUUCAAGUUAAUAUCAGCCCUAGGAUAUAGGUUUAUGAUAUUGCAAAGUGUAGAGACAUAUAUAAGCCAAGGAUUGGCGAUUGUAAUAGACUAAGUGAGUUAGGGGGUUUCCCCUCUCCUUCUCUAAUCUGAAACACUAAUCUUCAGUCUCUUAUUCUCUCAGUCUCUCUAGUCUCUUAAGUCUCUUAAUCUCUCUGUUCUUAAGUCUCUUAUACACUCUCACAAAUCUCUCUUCCUAAAUCACCUAGAACAAGCUCUAAUCAUUCUUCAUUGAAGCUUAUACACACACACAUACUACCAGAGUAGAGAUCUCUUUAAAAAUCAUAUGGUAUCAGAGCCAGGUUCAUCAGAACCUGAGCUGUAGCUUCCGCACAACACAAGCUCUACCCUCAGCUCAAAUCCAAUCCUUGAAGACAUUCCCAUCCGAGUUCAGUUUCUCCAUGAGAAGAAGACUGAAGGGCGUGUCUCUCAUCCUUUCUCCUGUCUAUACUGAUGGAGAGACUCAUUGGAAGCAGAAGUGUAUGGAGAGGACUCACGAACCUCAUCCAAGGCGCCUCCUCCAAGAGCUUUCUUCACCCGGUUCAUCAUGAAAGCUGUCAAGGUGAUGGCGCCUAGAAGACUUGGAGAAAGGAGGAGUCUUUGAGCUGGAGAAACAAGAAGGUGGUCAUGAACUGAAGGAGUAGGAGGUGGGUGACUAUCCAGACUCUCAGAUUCAACAAAAGCCAUGGCCAGUCCCCUUGGAGGUUUAAGGAACCAACCUGGUUCCUUGUGAUCUCCUGUCCACUCUAUCUCCUGCCCAAUCAGCAUCACAAUAUCCAACCACUUCUGUACUGCCAUUACAACCCAUCCAAACUCCUUGACCAGACGUGCCACUCAAAUACCUCAGUAUCCUAUCAACCAUCUUCCAAUGAUGGACCUUUGGUGCCUGCAUAUGCUGACUCACUUGAUUCACCGCAAAGCAUAUAUCUGGCCUAGUGAUGGUCAAGUAGAUCAGCUUGCCCACCAUCUUCCUGUAUAGCUUAGGAUCCUCAAACAGCUGCUUCUCUUCAACCUCCCCCUCACGCAGAACCUUAUAUCCCUCCUCGAGAGGUGUCUUGGCUAUCUUUCCUCCAAGCACAUCAGUCUCCUUCAACAUAUCCAUAGUAUACUUCCUUUGAGACAUAAACAAACCCUCCUUUGAUCUGCAUAUCUCAAUGCCCAGAAAAUACUUCAUCUCUCCCAAAUCCUUGAUGUCAAACACAGAUUUGAGAAACUCCUUAGUAGCUUGAAUCCCUGCCUUAUCACUCCCUGUGAUAAUCAAAUCAUCCACAUACACUAGAAUCACAAUGAUCCCUGAGGGUCCUGUCAAGGUGAAAAGAGUGUGAUCUAGUUCAGACUUCCUAAAGCCUCUCCCAUUGAGUGUUGUACUCAGCUUCCUGUACCAAGCUCUAGGUGAUUGUUUCAGCCCAUAUAUUGCCUUCUUCAAUCUCAAUACAUUCCCUGGCUUUACUAGGUGCUCAAGACCAGGAGGCGGAUGCAUGUAUACUUCAUCUUCAAGUUCACCUUGCAGGAAAGCAUUCUUCACAUCCAUUUGCCACAAAUCCCACUCCAAGUUUGUUGCAAUGGACAACACAAUCCGAACUGUGUGCAGCUUUGCUACUGGUGCAAAGGUAUCAAUGUAAUCCUCUCCAUAGGUCUGUGUAAAUCCUCUUGCAACCAAUCUAGUCUUCUUCCUAUCAAUCUGUCCAUUUGCUAGAUACUUGAUUGUGAAGAUCCAUCUACUAGAUACAGCCUUCUUUCCCUUAGGCAGCUCACUCUCAUACCAUGUAUCAUUUUUGAUCAUAGCACCUGCUUCAGCUCCCACUGAUUCUUUCCAUUCCUUGUCUAACAUAGCUUCUUCAUAAGUCCUUGGUACAUAACUCUCAUCCAGACUAAUCAUAAAGGCAUAAUGCUCCUCUGGAAACUCAGCAAAGGAACACAUGGCUUGAGAGGGAUGCUCCACAGCCUGGGCAUUGUAGUACACUCUCGUGUUUACCCAGUUGGAAGGAUCCCUCUUUAUCCUUGUGCUCCUCCUCAAAGCUUGAACCUGAUCUUCAGUUUGAACACUAGCCGGCUCCACUUGCUCCUCUUCUGAACUGACCGGUCCGACUUGUUCUUCUCCACUAGACUGACCCUCAUCCACUUCUCCACUAGACUGAACAUUGUUCUCAACUUCUUGUGAUGUAUCUUGAUCAUGAAGGCCUGAAUCCUCUUGGUUUUGCUCUUGCUCACCAGAUUCAGUUCCAUUCCCCCUCUCAUGAUCAAGAGGACUUGUUCUUCCAGCUCCACCAGCCUGAUUGGAAGGCUCUCUCCUCCCGGGUUCCUGAUCCUGGGAUAUCCCUAUCCCGAGCUUCUCCAACAAUACUCUCAGUAUUGUUGCCUUAUCAGAUGGAGCUUGAGACAAAUCCUUCAGAUUUUCCCACUCCUUUUCUUCAUAAUAACCUUUUGUUUCAACAAACUUCACUUCUCUAGAUACCAUCACCCUCCUUGCUUCAGGAUCAUAGCACUUGUACCCCUUUUGAGUGAUAGAGUAACCAAUGAACAUAGCCUUAGUACUCUUUGCCUCAAGCUUGUUUCUCUGCUCUCCUGGAACCAUGACAUAGCACACACACCCAAAGACACGUAGGUGAUCAAUGACAGGUUUGCUCUUGUUCAACACUUCAAAUGGAGACAGGUUCUUCAAUAUCUUAGUUGGAACCCUGUUGAUGAGAUAGCAAGCAGUCUGCACAGCAUCACUCCAAAACCGUUUUGGGACAUUUGCAUGAAACAUCAUCGAUCUAGCAACCUCCAUCAAGUGCCUAUUCUUCCUCUCAGCUACACCAUUCUGCUGUGGUGUAUAAGGGCAGCUAGUCUGAUGCACAAUCCCAUGCUUGGCUAGAUAACUCUUGAAGGCAUUGCUUAUGUAUUCACCUCCAUUAUCUGAUCUCAGUACCUUCACAGUAGCAUUGUAUUGAUUAGAUACAUAUGCUUGGAAGUUCAUAAAUGCUUCUAACACCCUAUCUUUAGAUGGAAGCAAUGUAAGCCAAGUAUACUUAGACUUCUCAUCAAUAAAUGUCACAAAGUACUUCUGGCUAUCUCUAGACAAACAAGGAGCUGUCCACACAUCUGAAUGAACUAGAUCAAAGCAAUGCUCAUAAGUAGUCUCUGAUGUUGGAAAAACAGUCCUACAAUGCUUUCCUAAUAUGCAUGCUUCACAGUCCAAGUGAUUAAAUGACAUAUUAGGCAUGAUCAAUUCAAUUGCACGAGCAUGUGGAUGUCCCAAUCUAGCAUGCCAAGUCAUACUAUCACACCUAUCAACAGCACUACUUAAGCACACAGAAUCAAAAGGUUUAGAAUUCUUAGCCAUUUGAAGAUGGUAUAGCUGAUUCUUGCUGUCCCCUCUGCCAAUAACUCUCCCAGUCUUCAAAUCUUGAAACUCCACUUCAUCAGGUCUGAAUACUACUUGACAAUUAAGAUCAAUGGUAGCUUUCUUCACAGAUAAUAGAUUUGAAGUGAACUGAGGCAUGUAGAAGGCAGCCGUGUCCUUCUCAAACAGUUUGAGCUUUCCCACUCCUUCUAUUGGGAUCAUAGCACCAUUAGCUAUCAUAACACUCCCUGUUGCAGCCUUGAUCUCACUUAUAAGCCUCCUAUCACUGAUCAUAUGAUGACUUGCUCCAGAAUCAAUCACAAUGGGUUUAGAAGCUCCGGAUUGUAUAGCAUGCUUCUUGCUUGCUGCUAAGGCUUGUACAUGUUCCAUGAACACUCUCCAUUCCUUCCUGGUGAUGCGAUCAUCAGCUCCACUCCCUUUCUCCUGCUCUUUUAACACCCCACUGUCUUCUACUGUUGCCCCAUGUAGGCUGAGUAAGAACACUCUCCCACAACUCUCUUCCUACCCUUUCCUAUGUUGAUAGAAGCUUUGGAUAGCAUUCUGCACCUCCUCCUCUUCUGGAAGCCCUCACUCCUACUCCCGGUUAGCCUCCAUGAGCCCUCACUCCUACUCAUGGUUAGCUUCUGGAAGCUCUCACUCCUACUCCCAGUUGGCUUCCAUGAGCUCUCACUCCUACUCAUGGUUAGCCUCUCAUCAUCUCUCAUUAUCUCAUACGCCCUUCUUAUAAGCACACAGAUCUCUUCCAUUUCCGGAAGCUGUUCCCCUCUUAGAACCAUCUCCACCAGCCACCCAUAUGAUGACUCCAUGCUCGCCAAGAGCUUCAAGACCAUCUCUUGCUCUCGUGUAGUAUCCCCAUCCACAUGGGAUCUCAACCCUUGUAGUUCAACCCACAAAUGUUGUAGCUUCCUCACAUGGUUAUUGAACUCUUCUCUUCCUGGUUUAACUCCACUGAUCACCUUCUUGACUUCAUACACUCUCCUAAGACUGAUCUUGUUCUCAUAAACAUCUUCAAUCUUCUCAAGCAGUGUACUUUCUUCAAGACUAAAGCAAUUUCCACUUGUUUCUCUUGCUGUCUGAUCUUUCUCAGCAGCUUUACCCUUCAAAGACUCUUCCUUCUCAUGGUUUCUCCAAACUCCACACCUUUUCAGAGUUGUUUUCAUUUGUGAGAACCACCCCCACUCAAUCCCUCUCUCUUUCUUCUCUUCACGCCUUGUUGUACCAGAUUGAAGCAGCUCCAUUUUCUUUAGCCUAGAUCUUCCCUCAAAUGCUUCUAAUCUCACACGCCAAGCUCAACCACAAGCUAGACCCCUCUUCUGACCUUGUUAAACACCUAAAAGGACUCCCUUGAAGCUGACUCUCCAAAAGAAACACCAACAGACACAAGCUUGAAUUUUAAAGGAUCUAGCUCUUGAAAAAUCUCAAGAACUCUCAAGAACACUCAAGAACACUCAAGAAAAACGAAAUCACUCUCUCCUUUUUUUUGUCACACACUCAUCUGCCCUCUUGGUAUCCAUUCCUCUCAUAUCCGCACUGUCUCCUAUACACUUUUGUGUAUUAGAGUGUUUCUAACCAAGUUUAAGAACAAUCAUACUGUUUUAUCCUUGUGCUCCUCCUCAAAGCUUGAACCUGAUCUUCAGUUUGAACACUAGCCGGCUCCACUUGCUCCUCUUCUGAACUGACCGGUCCGACUUGUUCUUCUCCACUAGACUGACCCUCAUCCACUUCUCCACUAGACUGAACAUUGUUCUCAACUUCUUGUGAUGUAUCUUGAUCAUGAAGGCCUGAAUCCUCUUGGUUUUGCUCUUGCUCACCAGAUUCAGUUCCAUUCCCCCUCUCAUGAUCAAGAGGACUUGUUCUUCCAGCUCCACCAGCCUGAUUGGAAGGCUCUCUCCUCCCGGGUUCCUGAUCCUGGGAUAUCCCUAUCCCGAGCUUCUCCAACAAUACUCUCAGUAUUGUUGCCUUAUCAGAUGGAGCUUGAGACAAAUCCUUCAGAUUUUCCCACUCCUUUUCUUCAUAAUAACCUUUUGUUUCAACAAACUUCACUUCUCUAGAUACCAUCACCCUCCUUGCUUCAGGAUCAUAGCACUUGUACCCCUUUUGAGUGAUAGAGUAACCAAUGAACAUAGCCUUAGUACUCUUUGCCUCAAGCUUGUUUCUCUGCUCUCCUGGAACCAUGACAUAGCACACACACCCAAAGACACGUAGGUGAUCAAUGACAGGUUUGCUCUUGUUCAACACUUCAAAUGGAGACAGGUUCUUCAAUAUCUUAGUUGGAACCCUGUUGAUGAGAUAGCAAGCAGUCUGCACAGCAUCACUCCAAAACCGUUUUGGGACAUUUGCAUGAAACAUCAUCGAUCUAGCAACCUCCAUCAAGUGCCUAUUCUUCCUCUCAGCUACACCAUUCUGCUGUGGUGUAUAAGGGCAGCUAGUCUGAUGCACAAUCCCAUGCUUGGCUAGAUAACUCUUGAAGGCAUUGCUUAUGUAUUCACCUCCAUUAUCUGAUCUCAGUACCUUCACAGUAGCAUUGUAUUGAUUAGAUACAUAUGCUUGGAAGUUCAUAAAUGCUUCUAACACCCUAUCUUUAGAUGGAAGCAAUGUAAGCCAAGUAUACUUAGACUUCUCAUCAAUAAAUGUCACAAAGUACUUCUGGCUAUCUCUAGACAAACAAGGAGCUGUCCACACAUCUGAAUGAACUAGAUCAAAGCAAUGCUCAUAAGUAGUCUCUGAUGUUGGAAAAACAGUCCUACAAUGCUUUCCUAAUAUGCAUGCUUCACAGUCCAAGUGAUUAAAUGACAUAUUAGGCAUGAUCAAUUCAAUUGCACGAGCAUGUGGAUGUCCCAAUCUAGCAUGCCAAGUCAUACUAUCACACCUAUCAACAGCACUACUUAAGCACACAGAAUCAAAAGGUUUAGAAUUCUUAGCCAUUUGAAGAUGGUAUAGCUGAUUCUUGCUGUCCCCUCUGCCAAUAACUCUCCCAGUCUUCAAAUCUUGAAACUCCACUUCAUCAGGUCUGAAUACUACUUGACAAUUAAGAUCAAUGGUAGCUUUCUUCACAGAUAAUAGAUUUGAAGUGAACUGAGGCAUGUAGAAGGCAGCCGUGUCCUUCUCAAACAGUUUGAGCUUUCCCACUCCUUCUAUUGGGAUCAUAGCACCAUUAGCUAUCAUAACACUCCCUGUUGCAGCCUUGAUCUCACUUAUAAGCCUCCUAUCACUGAUCAUAUGAUGACUUGCUCCAGAAUCAAUCACAAUGGGUUUAGAAGCUCCGGAUUGUAUAGCAUGCUUCUUGCUUGCUGCUAAGGCUUGUACAUGUUCCAUGAACACUCUCCAUUCCUUCCUGGUGAUGCGAUCAUCAGCUCCACUCCCUUUCUCCUGCUCUUUUAACACCCCACUGUCUUCUACUGUUGCCCCAUGUAGGCUGAGUAAGAACACUCUCCCACAACUCUCUUCCUACCCUUUCCUAUGUUGAUAGAAGCUUUGGAUAGCAUUCUGCACCUCCUCCUCUUCUGGAAGCCCUCACUCCUACUCCCGGUUAGCCUCCAUGAGCCCUCACUCCUACUCAUGGUUAGCUUCUGGAAGCUCUCACUCCUACUCCCAGUUGGCUUCCAUGAGCUCUCACUCCUACUCAUGGUUAGCCUCUCAUCAUCUCUCAUUAUCUCAUACGCCCUUCUUAUAAGCACACAGAUCUCUUCCAUUUCCGGAAGCUGUUCCCCUCUUAGAACCAUCUCCACCAGCCACCCAUAUGAUGACUCCAUGCUCGCCAAGAGCUUCAAGACCAUCUCUUGCUCUCGUGUAGUAUCCCCAUCCACAUGGGAUCUCAACCCUUGUAGUUCAACCCACAAAUGUUGUAGCUUCCUCACAUGGUUAUUGAACUCUUCUCUUCCUGGUUUAACUCCACUGAUCACCUUCUUGACUUCAUACACUCUCCUAAGACUGAUCUUGUUCUCAUAAACAUCUUCAAUCUUCUCAAGCAGUGUACUUUCUUCAAGACUAAAGCAAUUUCCACUUGUUUCUCUUGCUGUCUGAUCUUUCUCAGCAGCUUUACCCUUCAAAGACUCUUCCUUCUCAUGGUUUCUCCAAACUCCACACCUUUUCAGAGUUGUUUUCAUUUGUGAGAACCACCCCCACUCAAUCCCUCUCUCUUUCUUCUCUUCACGCCUUGUUGUACCAGAUUGAAGCAGCUCCAUUUUCUUUAGCCUAGAUCUUCCCUCAAAUGCUUCUAAUCUCACACGCCAAGCUCAACCACAAGCUAGACCCCUCUUCUGACCUUGUUAAACACCUAAAAGGACUCCCUUGAAGCUGACUCUCCAAAAGAAACACCAACAGACACAAGCUUGAAUUUUAAAGGAUCUAGCUCUUGAAAAAUCUCAAGAACUCUCAAGAACACUCAAGAACACUCAAGAAAAACGAAAUCACUCUCUCCUUUUAAAGCAACCUGGCUCUGAUACCAUAUACACUUUUGUGUAUUAGAGUGUUUCUAACCAAGUUUAAGAACAAUCAUACUGUUUUAUGUAAGAUUAAAGAGAUUAAGAGAAUAAGUAGAGAGAGAAUACUCAAAACUCCAUUAAUUAAUAACUGAUGAGGUUUACAAGUAUAUAUAGAGAGAGCAACAAGGGUUUUCGAAAUGUAUAAGCAUGUGGAGUCAAAGGACAGACUGGAACUCCUUUUGAAUCACUUGGCUGUGCUUUCUCACAUGCUUGCACUAGUGUAAAAGCAUCCUCUCCUUUCCAGCAUCAUACAGGCUGUCAAAGUGAUCCCUUAUCCUUCCUUAACCUCCCUUAUCCUCUUUGGUCGAGUUUCCUCUCUUCUCUUCACUAAGUUACCUUCUCAUCCCAUCAGAUAUCAUACAGGCUGUCAAAGUGAUCCCUUAUCCUUCCUUAUCCUCUUCCAACGUCUCACUUAGGAUAAGAAAGGAUUAACCUCAGUUAGACUCCAAUCUAACCCAUCCGGGUAACUUCUCUUCUUCUCACUUUAGUUACCACAGUAAAACUAAAGUUACUGUGGUAAAUCCCAAAGUUACUGACUAACCCAAUACUCUUCCUCUAUCAAUGUAUCAACGGCCUUGUACGGCCUUGCCUUGUACGGACACACCUUACCCAACCUUCUCCAUUCCUCCUAAGCUCCUUCUUAACCUCUCAAGACUUCUCUUCAACCCUCCCCCUCAAGCUUAGCUUUGUGAAAGUCUAAGCUUGGACAGCUAUGAGAUCUUCCUCAUUAAAAACCUCACCAAGGAAAACCCAUUGGGAUAAAACCUUGAUGAGGGAAAAAGAGUGGAGACUCCAUGGUUAAGGGGCUCAUCUCCUAGGAGUAAGAUCAAUGAGUCCAAGUCUUGAUAGUAUGGACUCCAUUGUCUUCAAUCUCGCUGCCUUAGUAAACACAUCUGCAAGCUGAUCUUCACUUCUUGUAUAACAUGGCAGAAUCACUCCUAAGAUGAUCAUCUGCCUCACCUUAUGACAAUCCACCUCUAUGUGCUUUGUUCUCUCAUGAAACACUGAGUUGGAGGCAAUGUGGAUAGCUGCUUGAUUGUCACAAUGCAUAGUCAUAGGAGCACUCUGCUCAAUCUCUAGAUGCUUCAAGAUCCCCUUGAUCCACACCAACUCGUUUGUCAGCUUCAACAUGGCUCUAUACUCAGCUUCAGCACUUGAACAGGAGAUAACCUUCUGCUUCUUACUCUUCCAAGUGACCAAGUUCCCUCCAAUGAAUGUACAAUACCCAGUAGUUGAUCUCCUGUCCACUCUAUCUCCUGCCCAAUCAGCAUCACAAUACCCAACCACUUCUGUACUGCCAUUGCAACACAUCCAAACUCCUUGACCAGACGUGCCACUCAAAUACCUCAGUAUCCUAUCAACCAUCUUCCAAUGAUGGACCUUUGGCGCCUGCAUAUGUUGACUCACUUGAUUCACCGCAAAGCAUAUAUCUGGCCUAGUGAUGGUCAAGUAGAUCAGCUUGCCAACCAUCUUCCUGUAUAGCUUAGAAUCCUCAAACAGCUGCUUCUCUUCAACCUCCCCCUCACGCAGAACCUUAUAUCCCUCCUCGAGAGGUGUCUUGGCUAUCUUUCCUCCAAGCACAUCAGUCUCCUUCAACAUAUCCAUAGUAUACUUCCUUUGAGACAUAAACAAACCCUCCUUUGAUCUGCAUAUCUCAAUGCCCAGAAAAUACUUCAUCUCUCCCAAAUCCUUGAUGUCAAACACAGAUUUGAGAAACUCCUUAGUAGCUUGAAUCCCUGCCUUAUCACUCCCUGUGAUAAUCAAAUCAUCCACAUACACUAGAAUCACAAUGAUCCCUGAGGGUCCUGUCAAGGUGAAAAGAGUGUGAUCUAGUUCAGACUUCCUAAAGCCUCUCCCAUUGAGUGUUGUACUCAGCUUCCUGUACCAAGCUCUAGGUGAUUGUUUCAGCCCAUAUAUUGCCUUCUUCAAUCUCAAUACAUUCCCUGGCUUUACUAGGUGCUCAAGACCAGGAGGCGGAUGCAUGUAUACUUCAUCUUCAAGUUCACCUUGCAGGAAAGCAUUCUUCACAUCCAUUUGCCACAAAUCCCACUCCAAGUUUGUUGCAAUGGACAACACAAUCCGAACUGUAUGCAGCUUUGCUACUGGUGCAAAGGUAUCAAUGUAAUCCUCUCCAUAGGUCUGUGUAAAUCCUCUUGCAACCAAUCUAGUCUUCUUCCUAUCAAUCUGUCCAUUUGCUAGAUACUUGAUUGUGAAGAUCCAUCUACUAGAUACAGCCUUCUUUCCCUUAGGCAGCUCACUCUCAUACCAUGUAUCAUUUUUGAUCAUAGCACCUGCUUCAGCUCCCACUGAUUCUUUCCAUUCCUUGUCUAACAUAGCUUCUUCAUAAGUCCUUGGUACAUAACUCUCAUCCAGACUAAUCAUAAAGGCAUAAUGCUCCUCUGGAAACUCAGCAAAGGAACACAUGGCUUGAGAGGGAUGCUCCACAGCCUGGGCAUUGUAGUACACUCUCGUGUUUACCCAGUUGGAAGCAUCUCUCUUCAGCCGUGUGCUUCUCCUCAAUGGUACCUCAGCUGGUGCUUGCUCUGGUGCUUCUACUUCAGUUGCUUCCACUCCUCCUUGUUCUGGUAACUCAUUAAGCUCUUCAUUACUUGGUUCAGCUCCACCUUGAUCAGGAUGAUCCGCAACAUCUUGAUUCUCAUCCGGCUCAAUUUCAUUCCCUCCCUCAUGAUCAAGGUGAGAUGGUUCUUCAGCUUCUUGUCUUUCAGAUGACUGAUUCUCUGUCGACUCCUGGGACAUUCCAAUUCCAAGACCUUCUAGUAUCUGUCUCAAGCUUGUAGCUCUAUCUGAAGGUUGUGAAAGAUCCUCCAGCUCUUUCCAAUCUUUAUCUUCAUAGUAGCUCUUCUCUUCAAAGAACUUGACAUCUCUAGAUACAAGUACUCUCCUUGUCUCAGGAACAAAGCAUUUGUAUCCCUUCUGUGUUGAACUGAAGAGAAGAAUGGAGCUUGUACAUAUAGGGGCAAGCUCUUGAAGAUCUUAAGAAGAGUUCUAUGAAGCUUCAGAAGUGAUGAGAAGCUGAUACAAGAUUUGGGCAAUGUCCAAGAAGGGUUCUAAUCAGACAUGGGAGAACAUUGGAGGAGUUUAGGCUGCAAUGGUUAAUGAGAAAGUUAGGGCGAUCCGUACGGACGGCCGUACGGACUGUACGGACCGUACGGACCAGGGCGUCCCAAAACUUAUCAUCUCGACCAUUUAAGCAUAGUUGAGGAAUGUGCAAGCUUAGGGCACAAUGUGUACGGCCAGGAAGUCCGUACAGCAUGGUCUGGUCAUGACUUGGGUCACAAGGCAUGGAGAAACUCAUUUGGACCUUAUACAUGAAGAAGGGAUCAAAAUGGCAUCUUGGAUGGCCUUGGAAAGGAUCAGGCGAGAUGCUGUCCGUGUAUGGAUAAGGUCUUCACUCCUAUUGGCUUAUUCAGUCCACAAGACAGCUCAUGACAGCCUGUGUAAAGACCAGGAACGCCCAAGCUUCCUAUUGGCCAAGCAUGUGAAGCUUACGGUCCAUAGAAUUCAAAAUAAGGCUCCUCCUUGUUUGACUUCACAUGUGUGAUGUAUCUGACUGUAAACCCUAGUAGAAAACAGUCUGUCCUAUUUAAAUAAGAGGCAGAGACGAUUUGUAAGCUCUAAGUGAGUAAGGGGGUUUCCCUUCUCCUUCUCUAAUCUUCAGUCUCUUAUUCUCUCAGUUUCUCUCUAGUCUCUUAAGUCUCUUAAUCUCUGUUCUUAAGUCUCACAUACUCAUAAACACUCUCACUAAUCCUUUCCUAUAUAUCACCUAGAACAAGCUCUAAUCAUUCUUCAUUGAAGCUUAUACACACACACAUACUACCAGAGUAGAGAUCUCUUUAAAAAUCAUAUUCUGUGUGGUUGAGUAUCCUAUCAUCAUAGCUUUGAUACUCUUUGCUUCCAGCUUGUUUCUCAUCUCUCCCGGGACAAGAACAUAGCUUACACACCCAAACACUCUUAGGUGAUCUAGGACUGGCUUAGCUCAAAUCCAACCCUUGAAGACAUUCCCAUCCGAGUUCAGUUUCUCCAUGAGAAGAAGACUGAAGGGCGUGUCUCUUAUCCUUUCUCCUGUCUAUACUGAUGGAGAGACUCAUUGGAAGCAGAAGUGUAUGGAGAGGACUCACGAACCUCAUCCAAGGCGCCUCCUCCAAGAGCUUUCUUCACCCUGUUCAUCAUGAAAGCUGUCAAGAUGAUGGCGCCUAGAAGACUUGAAGAAAGGAGGAGUCUUUGAGUUGGAGAAACAAGAAGGUGGCCAUGAACUGAAGGAGUAGGAGGUGGGUGACUAUCCAGACUCUCAGAUUCAACAAAAGCCAUGGCCAGUCCCCUUUGAGUUUUAAGGAACCAACCUGGUUCCUUGUGUAAGCGAUUUUUAAAACCCUCUUGAUAAUGAGCUUGUGUUGUUGACUGGUUGUAUUGUGUGAUGUGAUUGAAAACCUGAGGACUGUUAAAGAUUGAUAAAUUAAAAUGUUUAGAAUCUGUCCCAUGAUACUUUAAGAGCUUUGUUUGGUGACUAAAUGUGAUUAAUAUGCUUAGCUUCGUUUCAUAGUGAUGCUUAGAGUGAUUAACUGAAUCUGCUUGCAUACAUGGAUUGAAACUGAAUUUAAAGCUGUUGCAUAUAGUCUUGUGGCUGUCUUACAUUGAAGCAUUAGAUUCAUGUCUAAAGUGCUGAGUAAAGAAGCUUUUAAAAGUGCCUAAGUAACUUGUCUUGAAUCUGUUAGGAUCUUGCUUGUUCUUAGAGAGCUAGCUUGCAAAGAAUAGAACUUGAUAAUGCCUUGUGUCUAUCUGUUGCAUUGCUUGUGAGAUUGGGAAUCAAACCUGAUGAUUAAUCAAGGAUUGAUCCCAAUACUCUUGUGUCUUAUCCUUGCUGGAGUUUGAGUGGUGUUUCAGGUUCACAAGAAGUGUUCUCUGCUCACCACCUAUCCAAGACAAGAGGAAGACUUGAACCAUUGUGUGGAGCAAUGGGAAGAUACUUGUGUGUAGAAGCUGGUUUAAGAAGCGCAGGCCACAAGGUUGUUGAGCUCCUGGUUCAAGACAUACAAGCGGAAGACCAACCAUUGUGUGGAGCAAUGGGAAGGUUCUUGUGUGUAGAAGCCGGUUUAAGAAGCGCAGGCCACGAGGUUGUUGAGCAACUGGUUCAAGGCACAUAAGAAGAAGAAGGUCACCACCUAUGCCAUGAGGAAGGCCGGUGAUCUGAGGGUACUUGAAGCUUAAAGCAAAAGGAUGGAUCAGUGAUUUAAGCGCAGCUGUUAGGGUGAUGUGCUCCUGGUCUUGAAGUUCAUUGAGGCUCAUUUCAAGCUUGGAUCUCCCCUAUUCUCGGUCUCAAGCUUGCGGUGCUAGUAUUCAAAUGAGCAACCUGAAGAGCUAAAGUUCAAGACCUGUUUCCUCUUUAUCAUUACAAUAGAAUGAUAAAAUGAAGCCUGUUGCCAACAUUCUGUGGGAAGUCCACAGCCUGCUCCAAAGAGGGUAGAGAGGAUGUUGUGACAAUGGAGAGAUGACUUGUGGUUCUGUCCAUGGUGGUUUAGUCACCAUAGCCUACACAUCAGAUGAGUGUAGAGAGGACAGUCGACAUACAAAGAAGAGCAUCACCAGGAGGGUGAGGCAAUUUAAACCAAGACCAUCAUGGAGUGAUCCAGCCGAAGUAGAGGCAAGAAGAAAGCUACUCAAUAAGCUUCUGGUGUGAGAUGCUUGGAGAGUGAGCAUUGCAAGAGGGAUGGGCACACCAAGGAAAGGUGUUGGAUACUGAAUCCAAGCAUCAAACCUGCCAAGUUCAAGUGAACCGUGCCCAUGGAGGUUCAAGAGAUCAGCUCGGAUCUCUUGUUUGUAAGCAAACCUCUUAACCCUUAAUAAGAGCUUGUGUCUUUAUUUAUUGUGCUGUGAGUCCCAGAAUCUCAUGUUUUGUUUGUUGCAUUGUCUUGAGUAUUGUCAUAGCUUGAAUCAUCAUGAAUGUGUUGUAGAAUUGAGUAGAAUGUCUCUGCUGCUUGCAUCAUGAUUGAUAAGUUCUUUUGCAUACAUAAGCAUAUCUCAUACUGUCUAAGUUCAAUCCUAGUGUUAUCUGAUGCUAUUGCCUAUGUUUAAUCCAUCAAUGAAAGUCUUGCAUCAAUUAGAAAUUGUCUAAGUUGCUUGCAUCAUUGGUUCUGAUUGAAACUGUUGUGCAGAGCUUUAAUAUUACUCAUGGAUUGAACCCGUUGCAUUCAUAUAGCUAAUGCUUUAAGAUUGUGCAUUCAUGUAGUAAUGCAUUUAAAAAUGAGCCUAAAUUGCAAAUGUCCUGAUAUAAGCUUUGCAUUUAGAGAACUGUAUAGAACUUGCAUUGUCAUUGUUAGAAAUUGAAAUCUGCUUGUCUCGACUCAAUCCAAUUCUGAUUGUUGCCAUGCCAUAGUUAAAUCCAUCAGUGAUGUCUUAUAAGCAUUUAGAAGUAUGUCUAAGCUACUUGAAUCAUUGGCCUUGAUAAAACUAGUGAGCAUAAGCAUGAAUUGAGUCACUCUUGUCGCCUUAAUUGCAGAAGUAUCAUUUAGACUUGGGUUCCAUUUUGGAUUGAAUCUGUUUCAUUCAUAUAGUUAGUGUAACCUAAUGCAUUCAUCUAUUGUUGCAUUAAAAAAAAAAAAAAAAAAAAAACUGAAUUGAUUGUCUUUGCUUGAUUGUCUUAAUUGUCUAGCUUGUUUCAAGUAUCAUAUAUUAUUGUGGCAUUGGUGAUCAAACAGGAUGGAUGAUCUUGGUUUGAUCCCAAUGGGAUGAUCUGAUCUUGCAUUGAGUUUUGGUGAUGUUAGGUACACAAGGGAAGUGAUACAUGUAACACGCCAUCAACCAAGAAUGUAGAGACAAAGGUCUUGUGCCAUUGCAUAUCAUCACUAGGACAUGUUAGUCCAUAAUCUACAGGAAGUGUAGUGUGAUUGAUUAUGAAAUGAGAGAUGGCCAUUGCAUAAUACCAUUGGACAUAUCUAGUCCUUAGUCUACAGGAAGUGUAGCAUGGGUCAUUAUGCAAUGAGAGGUGUGUCUUGUGAGACUCUCUAUGGUGAUUCAAACACCCUAGUUCCUGGUUAAGGAAGAGAGUAAACUCACAAGAAGGAAGCUAUCAUAAAAGAUGAUAGUUAUUAGACCAUGGAGAUGCAUAGGAUCAUCACAAGCUUAGCUCCUUCUAGUUUCGGUUCUAAGCUUGAGGGGGAGUCUUAAUGCAUAUGAUCCAUGGUCAGUAACAAGUCUUUUGCAAAAGCUUCUACAAGGAUCAUCAACCGGACCAAUUCAGUGGCGUGUCUAGGCAAGAGGCUGUUCAGAGCAGCCUUGGCGAGAAAGGAGGAAGGCUCUCCAUCAAUGCGGCUUCAAUGAGAGGUGAUUGAGGAGAAGCUGAUGAAUCCAUUCUGCCUUUCCAAGAAGUUGAUGAUGCCAGGAAGAUGGUGCAUUGAGAGAGUUUGGAAACUCACAAAAACACAAGGGAAGUUCCCUUAGAUUUUUAAAACUCCUUUCAAUCUUUUUCAUUCAUCUUAUUCAUUGCUUGUGCUUGAUCUGGAUCAUGGCCUCUACAAUCAUCCCACGCCUUGUACUCUCCUUACUGCCUAAUCUUGGUCUCUCCCCCUUUCACCUAACCUCUUGUUAGGUUGAAGUGCUCGGACACACCAGAUCAGCCUCUUCUUGGAGAUACAACUUCUCUUACUGAGUCUUGGCUGCUUCUUCUUCUUCUAGAAUCGCCACCUUGUUGCUUGAGCUACAUGAGGAUGCUUCAGCCACUCUCCAAUCACCUCAACACUUGACGCCGCCUUGGACAUUGCUUCUUCAUCCUUCAUCAUACUUCUCAACAGGUUGCUUCCUCUUCUAGAAUAACCACCAAGCUCUCUUGGAUCAUGUAAGCUUCAACACUCCCCCUCAAGCUUGAGACUCUCACAGGAACAAGCUUGAAUGGAUUGCUUCAUGAUCCUCACACACACACCAUUGCCGCUCCUCUUCUGAUCUUGCCAUCUUCAUGGAAUGCUUGUGGAAGCUUCAGCUAUCUCUCCAAUCACUUCACACUAGAAGCCGCCUUGAUAGAAUUGCCUUCAUCUUCUCACAGCCAAGAGUACUCUGUCUUAGUUUGAGUACUCUCUUGAAUAGACUCGCCACAGCCUAAGCCCGGAUGGCUCCUUCUUCAGAUGCUUGCAAUGGACUUCUUGGAUCGCUUGGAAGCUCACUAAACUCCCCUCCUCAAGCUUGGAUUGAGUAUAGGUCCAAGCUUGCAAGUGAGCUUCAGUGACACUUCACACCAGUGGCGCAUCACCACUUCUCUCUCAACUCUCCAUUGCUCCACACAAUGGGCAAUCCUCAAGCUUGGAUUGAGUAUAGGUCCAAGCUUGCAAGUGAGAUUCAGUGACACUUCACACCAGUGGCGCAUAACCACUUCUCUCUCAACUCUCCAUUGCUCCACACAAUGGGCAAAGUCUUCCUCUUUCAACUCGGAUGGAUGGUGAACCAAGAACACCUCUUGUGAACCUGAAACAUCACUCAAACUCCAGCAAAGAUAAGACACAAGUGCAUUGGGUCAACCCUUGAUGCAUCAUCAAGUUUGAACACCAAUGUCUUUAAGCAAUGCAACAGAUUAAACUAGACAUUUUCAAGUUCUAAUCUUUGCAAGCAAACUCUCUAAGCACUAGCAUGAUCCUAACAGAUUCAAUACAAGCUACUUAGGCAAUUUUUAAAGCUUCUUUACUCAGCAUUUAGACAUGAAUCUAAUGCUUCAAUGUAAGACAGCCAUUUGACAGUAUGCACUAACCCUAAUCAGUUUUAAUUCAUGAAUGCAACAAUACAAUUCAUCACACAUUCAUUUAUAACUUAGGCUAAGCAUUACUAUCAUCACUUAACAUCAGACAAUGCAUUACUUUCAAUCUGUUUUCAGUUCAUGAGCUUCAAACAAUAUCAUUUCACAUUUAGAAAACUCAUUACUUAACAGGAGCAAGCAUUUUACUCUUUAAACACUAAACAAGCCUUUAAAGCAUCCUGAGACAGAUUCAACUAAUUAUAUUUAGCAAUCACACAUUAUCCUCAGGGUUUUCAAUCAAUACACAUCACAAUAACCAGGCACAGUCACACCACAAGCUCAAUAUCAAGAAGGUUUUAAAGAAUCGCUUACACAAGGAACCAGGUUGGUUCCUUAAGCCUCCAAAGGCAAUCUGGCCAUGAUAUGGUUGGAUUCAAGAGUCUAGGUCGUCACCCAACUCCUUCUCCUUCAGUCCAUGGCCUCCUUCUUGUUUCUCACACCCAAAGACCCCUCCUUUCUUCAUACUUCAAACCGGCUUCUCUUAGCUUCAUCUUUCUUGUAUCCGGAUGUGAUAAGCUCUUGGACAAGGAGCUUUGGCUUGAGGUUCAUGACGCCUCUCCAUCCUCCUCUGCUUCCAAAGAGACACUGUCCAUCAGGUAAAGACAGGCACGGUUGAGAGAUAAGGAGAACACUCCACGCUUCAAGCUUCUUUCUUCUUCAAGAACUGAACUUGGCUGGUAAUGUCUUCAAGGGUUUGGUUUGAGCUGAGAUGAGAGCUGUGGAUUUGCGGAAGCUCAGCUCAGGUUCUGAUGAACCUGGCUCUGAUACCAUAUGAGAUUUGAGAGCUCUGGCUGUGUAUGUGUAAGAAAAGCCAUUAAAGGCAAAGAUAAGGUCUUGAACUAGUUGAAUAAGAGGUCUGAUGAAACUAGUAUGAACUUGAAUCAGAAACAAAGAGACUUUGAGAGAUUAAGAGAUUAGAGACUAAGAAAGGGGUAGAUUAAGGGAAUCUGAUCAAGAACACACUUUUAUAAUUAUGAAGGAGAUGGGAAAACCCCCAUACUCUCUUAAGAGAUUACAAAACGUCCAAGACACAUCCUUAUAUAGGCUUUACAUCAUUGCAACUCAUAAACCUAUAUCUGAUGGCUAUAAUUAACUUAAGGGAAUGGAUGGUGUAGAUGAGAUGGUCUUCUUUGUAAUAUCUGAUCACUUUAAUUCAAACAAGGCAAGCUGGCGCCUGAUCUCUGAUUGGCUCUCCUUAGGCUCCUCUUCAUCUUCCCAAGUUACUGUCCAGAUUCAUAGUCAAGGCUGCUCUUCCUUUCCAGCAACAGCCAGCCUGUUUCUUUACUAAAGCAGCCAAUCACACUCCUAAGGGAUCUUCUUGAUACUCCUUUGAUGCCUUAGGAUCAGAACCUUAUCCCUUCGUCCAGCACACUCUAAUGCUGCCCUAUUCUUGCACAGACUUAGUACAAGCUUCCCGAGAUGUCAGGCUGCGCCCUAUUUUCGCACCAACUUCAUAUCUUCUUAAAUGGUCAAGUUAUGCACUUUUAGGAUCGACCUGGUACGUACGGAUCCGUACGGUCCGUACACGUCCGUACCAAAUCCGUACUACCUCACCCUAACAUUGCACACUCACCCAUUUGCUCCUCAACACUCUUCUAAGUCUCUCCUAGACUUUUCCCUUGCUUAGAACAUCCCUCAUAUCACUUCUGAACACCUUUAGACUCCUCAUCACUCUUGAUAGGCAAUCUCUAAAGCUCUUGCCCUAUCUUUGUACAAGAUCCAUCUCAACUCA
rnacentral:lncRNA from 1 species